rnacentral:rRNA from 1 species
AGCUGGUCUGAGAGGAUGGCACAGCCACACUGGGAUUGAGAUACGGCCCAGACUCCUUCGGGAGGCAGCAGUCGAGAGGCUUUGGCAAUGGGGGAAACCCUGACCAAGCGACGCCGCGUGGGUGAUGAAGGCCUUCGGGUUGUAAAGCCCUGUCUAGGGGGAAGAUAGUGACGGUACCCUAAGAGGAAGCUCCGGCCAACUCCGUGCCAGCAGCCGCGGUAAUACGGAGGGAGCGAGCGUUGUUCGGAAUUACUGGGCGUAAAGGGCGUGUAGGCGGUCUUUUAAGUCAGACGUGAAAUCUUUCGGCUCAACCGGAAACUUGCGUUUGAAACUGGAAGGCUUGAGUCAUGGAGAGGAAAGUGGAAUUCCUGGUGUAGCGGUGAAAUGCGUAGAUAUCAGGAAGAACACCAGUGGCGAAGGCGACUUUCUGGCCAUGUACUGACGCUGAGGCGCGAAAGCCAGGGGAGCGAACGGGAUUAGAUACCCCGGUAGUCCUGGCCGUAAAACGUUGAGGCACUAGGUGUAGGGGGUAUCGACCCCCUCUGUGCCGAAGCCUAACCGCAUUAAGUGCCCCGGCUUGGGGGAGUACGGCCGCAAGGCUGAAACUCAAAGGAAUUGACGGGGGCCCGC